GACGAACGCUGGCGGCGUGCCUAAUACAUGCAAGUCGAGCGCUGAAGGUUGGUGCUUGUUCCGUCUGGGUUAGCAGCGGACGGGUGAGUAACGCGUGGGUAAUCUCCCUUUGAGCGGGGGACAACUUUGGGAAACUAGUGCUAAUACCGCAUAAAAACUUGAAACACAAGGUUUAAUUGUGAAAGAUGCCUUUGCAUCACCCAAAGAUUGUCCCGCCGUGUAUUAGCUAGGUGGUGAGGUAAAGGCUCAACAAGGCGACGAUACAUAGGCGAACUGAGAGGGUGAUCGGCCCAAUUGGGACUGAGACAAGGCCCAAACUCCCACGGGAGGCAGCCGUAGGGAAACCUCGGGAAUGGACGGAAGGCUGAACGAGCAACGCCGGGGGAGUGAAGAAGGGUUUCGGAUCGUAAAACUCCGUUGAUAGAGAAGAAAGAUGGUGGGAGUGGAAAGUUCACCACGUGACGGUAACUAACCAGAAAGCGACGGCUAACUACGUG
rnacentral:rRNA from 1 species